rnacentral:rRNA from 1 species
GAUGAACGCUGGCGGCGUGCUUAACACAUGCAAGUCGAGCGAAGCAAUUUUAAGGAAGCCUUCGGGUGGAAUUAAAAUUGACUUAGUGGCGGACGGGUGAGUAACGCGUGGGUAACCUGCCUCAUACAGGGGGAUAACAGUUAGAAAUGACUGCUAAUACCGCAUAAGCGCACAGUGCUGCAUAGCACAGUGUGAAAAACUCCGGUGGUAUGAGAUGGACCCGCGUCUGAUUAGGUAGUUGGUGAGGUAACGGCCCACCAAGCCGACGAUCAGUAGCCGACCUGAGAGGGUGACCGGCCACAUUGGGACUGAGACACGGCCCAAACUCCUACGGGAGGCAGCAGUGGGGAAUAUUGGACAAUGGGGGAAACCCUGAUCCAGCGACGCCGCGUGACUGAAGAAGUAUUUCGGUAUGUAAAGGUCUAUCAGCAGGGAAGAAAAUGACGGUACCCGACUAAGAAGCCCCGGCUAACUACGUGCCAGCCGCCGCCGUAAAAC